GAUUUUAUUUACCAUGGGGCCUGUUAGAUCGUUGGGCCAUACGAAGUGGACAACUUUUGGCGGAAAUUUGAAGAGCUCACGGAAUUAACAACCCUCACCGUCUUUUUGGAUCAGAUUCAGACUAUAAGCUCAUAGACAACUUUCACUUCGAUGGGUUCAGUAGAGAGUAAACCCGAAGCGGCUGUUUCGCCAUGGUCAAUAAUGUCGCUAUGCCUCAGCCAAACUGCCGAAGUUGUUCCGGUCGUCGUCCCCAAACCGGUGGCUGCUCCGCGUUAAUUCCGUCGUUCCGGUUGUUGUUGCUGCUGCCCAACAACAAUCCCAGCCCAUGAAAUCGUCGCCGGUAACGGCGAGGAAACCCAAAGACAAUCCGGCCGUCAGCACUGCGCCUCUUCCGGCUAAAAGGUUGUCCCAUUUAGCCUUACCUUCGGCCCUUCCUAGGAAAUCCAUUCGCCCGGAAGAAAAGGUGGAAGAAGUGAUGAAACCGAAAGAAGAGGAAACGCCCAUAGCCAUCGAACCCCCGGUAGUCCAGCCACCAAUCCAGCCACCAAUCUAGCCGCCAAUACAGCCGCCAAUACAGCCACUAAUGCAGCCGGAAGAAACAGCUAAAGUUGUCGCCAGUGCCGUUCCAUCAGUCCAACAGCCAAAUGCUGCUGUUUCAACACCGGAAGUCACCGUCUGGACGAAGCGGAGGAGCGUGAAAGUCACCAGUUCCGGCCAUCAGACGACGUUGACCUUUCAGAAAAAGUCAUCCGCCAAUUCCGAUGGGAAUAAGAACCCGAGGCGGAUCGGAGUUGCAUCGUCGACGACACUUUCAGGUACAGUGUCUCAUCCUCCUCCUCCUUUCAUUAAUUAACCGCCAAAAUUUGAAAUCGUUUAAACUUAAAAAUUAAAAAAAAUCAAUUCAACGACGGACGUGUUUAGACGUGAAUCUCAAUUUGUUGUGUCGAUUGGAAUAAUCUAUAAUGGUCUUGUUGGAUUGUGUUGUUGGAUUGUUGGUUUUUUGUCUAUUACAUAAUUUAUAUUUGAUGUGAAAUGUUA